GGCAGCCGCUGUCCGGGAACGGAGAGGGGAGCGGAGGCCGGGGGGGGGGGGGGGGGGUGGCGGCCGGGCAGCGCGGCGAGAGCGGGCGCCCCCCAGCCGUGCCCGCGUCCCGGUGCUGCAUGGCGCUGCUCAGCCUGCCUUGCAGAGGGAGCUCGAGUCCCGCUCUGCGCCUCGCAGCGCCUCUCACUCCGCAGCACACGCCAGCGCAGCGAGGCGGCGGCCGGCAGGAGCGGGACACGCAGCCGCCGCCGCCGCCACCGCCCUGCGGUCAGGAGCCGGCCGGACACCCGAGGGAGGCCACGGGCAGCGGGCGGAGGGAACCGGGGCGAGCCCCGCAGAGUUCCAAGAGCAGAGUCAUUUUGUCCUGACCUGCAGCUCCCUGCCUGCCCUGACAGAAGGCUGCUUUCCUGCUCUGAUCUCUCUACAGCCAAGGUGUAGCUUAUCUUGGAAGGUGGUAUUGUGCUGCAGGGAUGGGGCUAGGUUUCGGCAGGGUAAGGAGAACACCCACAUAGUUGAGUGAAUUGAAUUCGUGGCUUUGGCCACUGGGGCACUGGGCUGGUUUUACUUCCAGGAUUUAUUCAGGGGGG